UACAGAGGUCCCAAGCGUUGUUCGGAUUCACUGGGCGUAAAGCGCACGUAGGCGGCUUUCUAAGUCAGGGGUGAAAUCCUGGAGCUCAACUCCAGAACUGCCUUUGAUACUGGAGAGCUUGAGUCCGGAAGAGGUGAGUGGAACUCCGAGUGUAGAGGUGAAAUUCGUAGAUAUUCGGAAGAACACCAGUGGCGAAGGCGGCUCACUGGUCCGGUACUGACGCUGAGGUGCGAAAGCGUGGGGAGCAAACAGG
rnacentral:rRNA from 1 species